CAGCCGCCGCGGGAAUACGUAGGUGGCAAGCGUUGUCCGGAAUUAUUGGGCGUAAAGGGCUCGCAGGCGGUUUCUUAAGUCUGAUGUGAGAGCCCCCGGCUCAACCGGGGAGGGUCAUUGGAAACUGGGAAACUUGAGUGCAGAAGAGGAGAGUGGAAUUCCACGUGUAGCGGUGAAAUGCGUAGAGAUGUGGAGGAACACCAGUGGCGAAGGCGACUCUCUGGUCUGUAACUGACGCUGAGGAGCGAAAGCGUGGGGAGCGAACAGGAUUAGAUACCCGAGUAGUCCCUGUCUCUUAUAC
rnacentral:rRNA from 1 species